GCUGUUGUGGCUCAGUGGUAGAGUGCUUGCCUCACAUGUGUGAGGCAUUGUGUUCAAUUCUCAGCAGCA
rfam:Ictidomys tridecemlineatus contig065830, whole genome shotgun sequence.